UUUUCACUUCUUCCUCUUUCUCCUCCCGCCCAACCUCCACAACUACCACUCAAUUUCUUCUCUUGCUUCGCUUCGUUGCUGGUUGUGGUGGUGAGGAAGAGUGCUAGAGGGUUGUGGUCACGGUGAGGGUCUGGGGUGCUGUGUCAAUGCUGGUUGGGGUUUUCUUGUGCGUGGCUUUGGUGCGGUGGUGCUGAGAGAAUAGCAGAGAGGUCAUGGAGUUUAGUUGUGACUGAUGUGCAUUGAGGAAGAGACUUAUGCUGUCAUGGUGGGAGGCUUGAAGAUGAUGAAUAACAGUGGUGCUGAAGAAUCACUGGUGUGCAGGAAGGAGAUGCAGAGCAUGAGGGUUUUGAGAAGAAGGAUUAGAGAUUAGUUUGUGUGUUUUUUUUUUUUUUUGCUGGACUAGUGGACUGGCUCUGCUUUGGCUUCAAUGGAGAUGAAGGUAUUUAAAGGACCAGCUAAAAAAAUGGCAGAAGGGAAGAGGGAUGAGGAGAAUGUGAGGGGGAUAGCUAUGGAGGUUUAUGGAAAUGCAGGAUUGAGAUGAAUUACAGAGGGAUUUGAGUUGGCAUGCUUGGCAUUGUAUUUGAUGCAUGAGAGAAAACAGGGGAAGAAGUCUUUCUGGUAUACAUACAAUAGUCAAUAGGAGCUUGAUUGUCGAUGAUAACAUUACCAAGAAAGGAAGCUAAUAUGUGUGAAGAUUAGUUUUCACAAGCGAUGACUUCCAAAUGGUGUUGAGGGAUGAAAAUGGAGUGGGGAAGAGGCAUUAGUCCCUGGAGAUGUGAUCAGGAUCAAGUUGGGAGACAUUGUGCCUGCUGAUGCCUGUCUCUUGGAGGGAGAUCCUCUUAAGACUGACCAUUCUUCACUACUGACUUCCAGUAGCUGCUAAACAACUUCUGGAGCGCAACUUGGGUAGAAACCACACAAAUUGACUUGUGCACACAUGGAACUGGCAAUUGAGGUAAGUGAGAGGAAUUUCAGUAGCGGCUGUCUAAAGUCACCAGCACUUGCAACUUAGGCUCCCACUAAAAACUAUUUUUUUUCGUAAUGAAUUGAAAAGGAAGUUAAUUUUUUCUCAUAUUAAAAUGAAAUGUUGUGAGUGUGAGAAUUAGAUUUAUGAAAAUUAUUCUUGUAAUUUCUUACAAACCAGACUUAUCUUCUGGGUUUUAGAAGCUGGUGAAUUAGA